GUGGACCAGGAGGGGUUUCGCCAAUCAAGCGGGCCACACUUCCUCCCCCAGGUUCUAAUUUUGUGCCACAUUAAAGAGCUCGGCCUCCAUUUAGGACACAGAGAAGCAUUUUCAUAAUUUGCCGGGUCUCUCGACUAGCUCCGGGUGCCUUUUUUCCUCUCUCUCCUCCCUCUCUUGCUCUCGCUCCGUGUCUGAAUGGAAGGCCUGGGGAGGAAGACGGGUAAUUCAUUCGCCUCUUUUCAACCAACCAGCUUCAGUUCUGCAUAAUGUUGCUGCUAGGUGUGUAUAGCAGCUAAUAUUUAUCUCCCUAAUAAUUCUCUAUUAGACCUGAAUAUUAUUUGCUGUAUAAAAGCUAACACAGCUCAUUGUCAGCUCCACAAAAAUGGUGUCAUUCACGUUUUGUUGUCACAUAAAGGCUCAUUCUUUUUGAGUGUGUUUGGCUUGAUAUAGGGGGAUGUCAUCUGUGACCAUUCAGCCAUACAUCUGUGGUGGGUAUAUUGAUCAAAUCUGUAAUUUAGAAUACACACUACAAAAUCUAGGUUAAAGUUGUUUCAUUUCCUGUUGCUGACACCAUCCAUUCAUGCACUGCAGCAUGCGUAAGCAUUGAUUCAUAUGUGAUUGGUCACAUAAUUCACAGUCUCAGGGGGCAUUUCAUCGCUGACAGACAAGCUAAUCUAAAAUCCCCCAAUUUACAAAUGAAAAUCCCACCAUCCAAUUGAGCUAAUAGAGGGACUUGAAUGGGAUAAUAAGAUGUGGUGUAAUACUGUGUAAAAAGCCUGUAAUGUUGUGUUGGUGUAAGAGCCUGUGUGACUGGAUGUUUGACUGUUUGCAGUGAUUACAGGGGCCUGCGGGCCUGGCGGCGGCUCUGUGGCAGGGACAGGGAGCUUCUCCCUGGGCAAGGAGAUAC